CGAGGGUGGGAUGUAAAAGUCAAGAGGGGAACACAGUCAACUAGAUCAAUUGCUUAAACACCGGUCAAGUUAAUUAGAUGUCUGCAAGGCUUGACAUCCAUCACAUGGUUGUAUAUGUCUUCAGUGAGCUGAAAGCAAAGAACCUGUGAAUGCAACACAACCUGCGAUUUGGGGAACUUGGAGUUUUUCAGUUUAAGAGCUGUCCUUGCACUGUGAUUAGGCUCUAACAAAAGGUACAAGAACUGGAAACUGCUUCUCAUUUCUAAGCAGUAUCCAAAGGGGGCGUCAGAGUCUCUUAAACUUUAAUUUCUUCUGAAAUUGGAGAUAGUGGAAUCAGUUUCCUCAUUUCUAACACAAUUAAUGAGGUGAUUAGCUCCACCCUAGCCCCAGUUUAUCUUGGGGUUGUGCCCAGUUAUGAACAUAACUCUGAAGCAGAUGUAGCAACAAACUUCUUGGCCAUUGUUAGCUCCUGCUUUUCUUUAAAUGCCCCAAGGAGACAACCUGUUUCAGGUACAAACUGCUGCACAGAAGUUCUGGGAAGGAAUUGGAGCUGCCUGCCAGGAUACAGUCAAAGUCAGUGCCCUAAACUUACUGUGAUGCUUCUCUCCAGGAAAAGUUGAGUGCUUCACUGGAGUGAAGUGCAGCUGCAGUCUAAAUUGUACCACAGAAAAAAUCAAUAUCUUUAGACACAUGGGAUAUCUAUAGAUGAACCAUGUAAUUGACAACAGUUGGCUCAACUUUUUGCUUCAGUCUAUAUUUUCCUAAAAGUGAAUCAUACAUGUAUAGAGAAAUGCAUUCUCUGUUUCCUCUGAUGUUUUUCAAGUAAAGAGAUA